AUUGAACGCUGGCGGCAGGCCUAACACAUGCAAGUCGAGCGGCAGCGGGAAGGUAGCUUGCUACUUUUGCCGGCGAGCGGCGGACGGGUGAGUAAUGCCUGGGAAAUUGCCCAGUCGAGGGGGAUAACAGUUGGAAACGACUGCUAAUACCGCAUACGCCCUACGGGGGAAAGCAGGGGACCUUAGGGCCUUGCGCGAUUGGAUAUGCCCAGUUGGGAUUAGCUAGUUGGUGAGGUAAUGGCUCACCAAGGCGACGAUCCCUAGCUGGUCUGAGAGGAUGAUCAGCCACACUGGAACUGAGACACGGUCCAGACUCCUACGGGAGGCAGCAGUGGGGAAUAUUGCACAAUGGGGGAAACCCUGAUGCAGCCAUGCCGCGUGUGUGAAGAAGGCCUUCGGGUUGUAAAGCACUUUCAGCGAGGAGGAAAGGUCAGUAGCUAAUAUCUGCUGACGUUACUCGCAGAAGAAGCACCGGCUAACUCCGUGCCAGCAGCCGCAGUAACAC
rnacentral:rRNA from 1 species